UGCAUUGACGGGGGCCCGCACAAGCGGAGGAACAUGUGGUUUAAUUCGAUGAUACGCGAGGAACCUUACCUGGGCUAGAACGCAAUCGGAAUCAGGCCGAAAGGCCUGCGCCAGCGAUGGCCGGUUGCGAGGUGCUGCAUGGUUGUCGUCAGCUCGUGCCGUGAGGUGUCGGGUUAAGUCCCCAUAACGAGCGCAACCCCUACUGCUAGUUGCCAGCGGGUCAUGCCGGGGACUCUAGCGGAACUGCCAGCGUAAGCUGCGAGGAAGGUGGGGAUGACGUCAAAUCAGCACGGCCCUUACGUCCAGGGCUACACACGUGCUACAAUGGCCGAUACAGAGGGCAGCUACCUGGUGACAGGAUGCAAAUCUCCAAAGUCGGUCUCAGUUCGGAUCGGAGUCUGCAACCCGACUCCGUGAAGUUGGAUUCGCUAGUAAUCGCGCAUCAGCCAUGGCGCGGUGAAUACGUUCCCGGGCCUU
rnacentral:rRNA from 1 species